CAACAGCUUGGAGCCCAGUGGUUCCUCCCUCACCCUGACAGGCUCCCCUUCCAGUGCAGAGCCCUGGAGUCAAAGAAGAAUUUCUUCUAAAGGAAGAAGGCAAACAUGGUGCUGCCCAGGCUGCUGAAGCUGCUCAUGGUAUCAAUGUGGCUGGGAUCCAGUUUUGCCCAGAAGGUGACUCAGGCCCAGCCAGCCAUUUGGGUGCAGGAGAAGGAGGCUGUGACCCUGCACUGCUCCUAUGACACUAGUAAAACAAAUUAUGGUCUCCUCUGGUACAAGCAGCCCAGCAGUGGAGAGAUGGUCUUCCUCAUCCUUCAGAACUCUUACAGCCAGCAAAAUGGCACAGAAGGUCGCUACUCAGUGAAUUUGCAGAAGGCAAGCAAAUCCAUCCAACUUGUCAUCUCAGCCUCACAGCUGGGGGACUCAGCAGUGUAUUUCUGUGCACUGACAGAAGACACAGUGAGAGAACAGUUAGAGGGAGGUGCACAAAAACCCAGGGUCUGGUGA